rnacentral:miRNA from 1 species
UGGGCCAUCUCUUUAGUCCAGA